GCCAGGCAUGGUGGCAUAUGCCUGUAGUCCUAGCUACUCAAGGAGGCUGAGGUGGGAAGAUUGCUUGAGCCCAGGAGGUCGGGGCUGCAGUGAGCUGCGACACCACUGCACUCCAGCCUGGGCAACAGAACAAGACCCUGUCUCAA
ensembl:misc_RNA Metazoa_SRP Metazoan signal recognition particle RNA